GGUGGCUCAGUGGUAGAGCGCUUGCCUUGCAUGCAAGAGGCCCUGGGUUCGAUUCCUCAGUACCA
rfam:Dipodomys ordii contig_33244, whole genome shotgun sequence.